rnacentral:lncRNA from 1 species
AAAUUUUAAGUACAAAGAUGUUCUUAAACAUUUCUAAUGUAUCUGCCUUGAUGGGCACAAAACUGACUUAGAAGAGGCCACUCUACCGCCCAUCGUCUGGGAUGUGAGGAGCCCCUCUGCCUGGCUGCCCAGUCUGGAAAGUGAGGAGCGUCUCUGCCCGGCGGCCAUCCCAUCUAGGAAGUGAGGAGCGCCUCUUCCCGGCCGCCAUCCCAUCUAGGAAGUGAGGAGCGUCUCUGCCCGGCCGCCCAUCGUCUGAGAUGUGGGGAGCGCCUCUGCCCCGCCGCCCCGUCUGGGAUGUGAGGAGCGCCUCUGCCCGGCCACGGCCCCGUCUGGGAGGUGAGGAGCGUCUCUGCCCAGCCGCCCCGUCUGAGAAGUGAGGAGACCCUCUGCCUGGCAACCGCCCCGUCUGAGAAGUGAGGAGCCCCUCCGCCCGGCAGCCGCCCCGUCAGAGAAGUGAGGAGCCCUUCCGCCCAGCAGCCACCCCGUCUGGGAAGUGAGGAGCGUCUCCGCCCGGCAGCCACCCCGUCCGGGAGGGAGGUGGGGGGGUCAGCCCCCCCGCCCGGCCAGCCGCC